rnacentral:rRNA from 1 species
AGAGUUUGAUCCUGGCUCAGAGCGAACGCUGGCGGCAGGCCUGACACAUGCAAGUCGAACGAACUCUUCGGAGUUAGUGGCGGACGGGUGAGUAACACGUGGGAACGUGCCUUUAGGUUCGGAAUAACUCAGGGAAACUUGUGCUAAUACCGAAUGUGCCCUUCGGGGGAAAGAUUUAUCGCCUUUAGAGCGGCCCGCGUCUGAUUAGCUUGUUGGUGGGGUAAUGGCCCACCAAGGCUACGAUCAGUAGCUGGUCUGAGAGGAUGACCAGCCACAUUGGGACUGAGACACGGCCCAAACUCCUACGGGAGGCAGCAGUGGGGAAUCUUGCGCAAUGGGCGAAAGCCUGACGCAGCCAUGCCGCGUGUAUGAUGAAGGUCUUAGGAUUGUAAAAUACUUUCACCGGUGAAGAUAAUGACUGUAGCCGAG